rnacentral:rRNA from 1 species
GGGGAAUAUUGCGCAAUGGGGGCAACCCUGACGCAGCAACGCCGCGUGCAGGAAGAAGGUCUUCGGAUUGUAAACUGUUGUCGCAAGGGAAGAAGACAAUGACGGUACCUUGUGAGAAAGUCACGGCUAACUACGUGCCAGCAGCCGCGGUAAUACGUAGGUGACAAGCGUUGUCCGGAUUUACUGGGUGUAAAGGGCGCGUAGGCGGACUGUCAAGUCAGUCGUGAAAUACCGGGGCUUAACCCCGGGGCUGCGAUUGAAACUGACAGCCUUGAGUAUCGGAGAGGAAAGCGGAAUUCCUAGUGUAGCGGUGAAAUGCGUAGAUAUUAGGAGGAACACCAGUGGCGAAGGCGGCUUUCUGGACGACAACUGACGCUGAGGCGCGAAAGUGUGGGGAGCAAACAGGAUUAGAUACCCUGGUAGUCCACACCGUAAACGAUGGAUACUAGGUGUAGGAGGUAUCGACCCCUUCUGUGCCGCAGUUAACACAAUAAGUAUCCCACCUGGGGAGUACGACCGCAAGGUUGAAACUCAAAGGAAUUGACGGGGGCCCGCACAAGCAGUGGAGUAUGUGGUUUAAUUCGAAGCAACGCGAAGAACCUUACCUGGGCUUGACAUCCCUGGAAUCGAGUAGAGAUACUUGAGUGCCUUCGGGAAUCAGGUGACAGGUGGUGCAUGGUUGUCGUCAGCUCGUGUCGUGAGAUGUUGGGUUAAGUCCCGCAACGAGCGCAACCCCUAUUGUCAGUUGCCAUCAUUAAGUUGGGCACUCUGGCGAGACUGCCGGUGACAAAUCGGAGGAAGGUGGGGACGACGUCAAAUCAUCAUGCCCCUUAUGCCCAGGGCUACACACGUACUACAAUGGCCGAUAACAAAGUGCAGCGAAACCGUGAGGUGGAGCGAAUCACAAAACUCGGUCUCAGUUCAGAUUGCAGGCUGCAACUCGCCUGCAUGAAGUUGGAAUUGCUAGUAAUCGCGGAUCAGAAUGCCGCGGUGAAUACGUUCCCG